rnacentral:lncRNA from 1 species
UGCAUUUUAUAAACAUGAAAACAAAAUAAAAAGAAUGUGUAGAUAAGUGUGCUUUAUUUUCUUGCUAAGUUUAAUCUCUAGAAAAAUAAAAAGACCAAAAAGAUGCAUAAUGGAAAUGAUGAACAGUUGUUCUGUUUGUUUACUUUCAAGUACCUAGCUUUUAUAUUAGAGUUCUUCCAGGAAUUACUAAAACUGAAAUUACUAUCUAUGGGAAACAUAAAAUUAAAGUCUAGGUAAGAGGAAGGCAUGAUAUAAAGAUUAAGCUACUGUUUAUCUUGUUCCUACUACACUAAGAUUCUGGAGAUUUAUUUUGAAAACUUACAAAGCACAUGAUGAGUUUUUAGCAUAACAAACUACCUACCAUACCCAUACUUGCUAUAAUAUCUUUUACUUAUAUUCACAUUGAGUUUGAUCGAGCUGUGUAGACCCUUAGGAGCUUUUCACGUGGUUAAAUUAAGAUAUUCACUUGCACACAUGUACUACACCAUCCAUCACCAUUCAUUAAAAUUGCAAAAAAUAUUAUCACUCACUGUCCCAAAUAUUGUUAUUCUCUCUCUAAAAAGAUUCAAUGCAGAAGAGGCAUGGGUUAUGCAAAAAUAAGCGAGGAAAUAAAAAGGGGCAAGUGCCCGAAACCUCGAUAAAGAAAGAAAAAGAGUGAGACGAGAGGUAAAAAUGGACAAGUGUCCGAAGUAGAAUUAGGAGAACAAAGAUGCCCACUUGAGCGGAAAAAAUGGACAAGUGUCCGACAGUAGAAUUAGGGGUAUCUACUACCCACCUGAAAAAAAAAGAGAGAGAAAAGAAAAAGAUAGCCCAUGUUCUCCCAAAGCAAAGAUCAAAGAAGAGGAGAGAUAGC